GAGUUUGAUCCUGGYUCMKAACGAACGCUGGCGGCGUGCUUAACACAUGCAAGUCGAACGUGAUCCGGAGCUUGCUCCGGUGAAAGUGGCGCACGGGUGAGUAACGCGUGGAUAACCUGCCCUGGUAUCUGGGAUAACAUCKCGAAAGGGGUGCUAAUACCGGAUAAGCCCACGGGAUCCUCGGAUUCUGCGGGAAAAGGUGGCCUCUAUUUAUAAGCUAUUGUUUGAGGAUGGGCUCGCGUACCAUUAGCUAGUUGGUGGGGUAAUGGCCCACCAAGGCUACGAUGGUUAGCUGGUCUGARAGGAUGAUCAGCCACACUGGAACUGARACACGGUCCAGACUCCUACGGGAGGCAGCAGUGGGGAAUUUUGCGCAAUGGGGGAAACCCUGACGCAGCAACGCCGCGUGAGUGAUGAAGGCUUUCGGGUCGUAAAGCUCUGUCAGAGGGGAAGAAAUGAGACUGGCUAAUAUCCAGUUUUCUUGACGGUACCCUCAAAGGAAGCACCGGCUAACUCCGUGCCAGCAGCCGCGGWAAUAC
rnacentral:rRNA from 1 species